rnacentral:rRNA from 1 species
UACAGAGGUCCCAAGCGUUGUUCGGAUUCACUGGGCGUAAAGGGUGCGUAGGCGGCCGGGUAAGUCUGAUGUGAAAUCCCGCAGCUUAACUGCGGAACUGCAUCAGAUACUCUCCGGCUAGAGGAAUGGAGGGGAGACUGGAAUUCUCGGUGUAGCAGUGAAAUGCGUAGAUAUCGAGAGGAACACCAGUGGCGAAGGCGAGUCUCUGGACAUUUCCUAACGCUGAGGCACGAAAGCCAGGGGAGCAAACGGG